rfam:Strongylocentrotus purpuratus Contig51994_fixed, whole genome shotgun sequence.
AGCAUGGUGGCUCAGUGGUUAGAGCGCCCGCCUCAUGCCCGGAAGGUCGUGGGUUCGAACCCCGGCCGAGUCA